UGGCGAACGGGUGAGUAACACGUGGGCAAUCUGCCCUUCACUCUGGGACAAGCCCUGGAAACGGGGUCUAAUACCGGAUAACACUCUGUCCCGCAUGGGACGGGGUUAAAAGCUCCGGCGGUGAAGGAUGAGCCCGCGGCCUAUCAGCUUGUUGGUGGGGUAAUGGCCUACCAAGGCGACGACGGGUAGCCGGCCUGAGAGGGCGACCGGCCACACUGGGACUGAGACACGGCCCAGACUCCUACGGGAGGCAGCAGUGGGGAAUAUUGCACAAUGGGCGAAAGCCUGAUGCAGCGACGCCGCGUGAGGGAUGACGGCCUUCGGGUUGUAAACCUCUUUCAGCAGGGAAGAAGCGAAAGUGACGGUACCUGCAGAAGAAGCGCCGGCUAACUACGUGCCAGCAGCCGCGGUAAUACGUAGGGCGCAAGCGUUGUCCGGAAUUAUUGGGCGUAAAGAGCUCGUAGGCGGCUUGUCACGUCGGAUGUGAAAGCCCGGGGCUUAACCCCGGGUCUGCAUUCGAUACGGGCUAGCUAGAGUGUGGUAGGGGAGAUCGGAAUUCCUGGUGUAGCGGUGAAAUGCGCAGAUAUCAGGAGGAACACCGGUGGCGAAGGCGGAUCUCUGGGCCAUUACUGACGCUGAGGAGCGAAAGCGUGGGGAGCGAACAGGAUUAGAUACCCUGGUAGUCCACGCCGUAAACGUUGGGAACUAGGUGUUGGCGAC
rnacentral:rRNA from 1 species